rnacentral:lncRNA from 1 species
GUUGUACGUCGCAGCAAUACCCAUGGCUUGGUUUAUUCACGCAUGGAUUGUCCUAGACAUUAAAAGAUGGCGGUGGUAGUGAAAACAUGUAUUAAACUUAAAUGUAAGUUGCAAAAUUAUUCAGUGUUAUUGAUUAUACUUGAAAGGGGCAUUAUGUACCAUAUAUGUAAUAAAAUAAAUACAUGUACGAAAAUCAAAUACAUAUUAUCAAGUCCAUGCAUCGUAAACUGUUUGUUAAAGACUUUUAAUACGACCGCAACAUUUUUUAGUUAUAUUGCUAUCAUGUCGUUGUCCGAGACACAUUUGGUUUCCAAACAAUAACUUAAGUUUAUGUGAAUGGAUCGCUUUAAAAUUUUACCAGAUGGUUCAAUACUACAAAAGAAAGGUAGGGAUUAAGUUUGGGGGUAAUACAUUUAGGAAGUCGGGGGCCAAAAAAUGACCAAAUACAUGCAAGAAUUAUAUUUCAGUUUUCAGACAAAAGCUUGUGUUAAAGUGUAUGGAUCGCAUUGAAAUUGUAAUACAAGAUAUCAUACCUUAAAGGAGUAGGCUGGGAUUUACUUAAGGGUAAUUUCUCCAAAGGGGGGAGGUAAACAAAAAGGGGCUCAAUUUUUUUUUCGAUUAUACAAUUGUUUGUGUUUUAUGUGUAAUUUUGUCUGUUUUUUUUUUAUCAGAGUGAGCAUUGGGACAAGUUGCGCUAGAGACUGUAUCUAAUUCGGAAUAUUCUCAUUGCACAAAAACUUUACAAAUAGAUAUAGGAAGAUGUGGUGUGAGUGCCAAUGAGACAGCUCUCCAUCCAAAUAAUAAUUUAUAAAAGUAAACCAUUAUAGGUCAAUGUACGCCCUUCAACACGGAGCCUUGGCUCACACCAAACAAUAAGCUAUAAAGGGCCCCAAAUUACUAGUGUAAACCCAUUCAAACGGGAAAACCAACGGUCUCAUCUAUAUAACAAACAUGUUACUAUAUCCUUUACGCACCUGCCCCAGGUGACUUCUGCAUUUUGAUAACUGCUUAACAAUCUUGUUCAUGAGCACUAUCCUCGAGAAGGAUACUAUAAUAACUCUUUUUGAUUUUUAUUUAUGCAUGUUGUGAUUAAAAGUGCUAGAAUAUAAAUAAAAGCUAUUUUAUAAAGAAUGUAAUGCUGCUUCUGGUGCAUGGUCAAGAAACACUAAACAUUACGGGUUAUAUGACUACAUAUAUUAUUAACUCAUGUAUAUUUCACGUUAUGGGUUUUUUUUGUUUGUAUUAUCUAUAUUGUAUUUUUUAAUAUGAAUAUCACUGUACUGAUUAUGCCCAUUAUGGGUCCUCUAUAGGAAAUAAAAUUGAUCUUAUCUUACAUGCUGAUUUUUUUUUUUUUUUACAUUAAUCAAUAAUAUUUGUUUACAUUUUUCCAGGUGACUGAUGGCUAAAGAGUUCAAGUGUGUGGUUUGUGGUAGAUGUCAUCUAAAAUCCAGACGUAAGAUAACAACUAAAGCACUGAAACAGUUUGUAAGAAAAAGAAUUGAGCGAAACCUUGAAGAAAAUGAUGUGAUAUGUGAGAAGUGUAGAUCAAUAUACAGGAAAACACUAAAAAAAGUAAACAAUGAACAGAAAGUUUCAAACUGUCUUUCCGAGUGUAUUACAGAUGACAGUGACUCUGAGUUUGUUAUAAAUACAGAAGAAGCCGUAUCCACG